GUGAGAUGUUGGGUUAAGUCCCGCAACGAGCGCAACCCUUAAGCUUAGUUGCCAUCAUUAAGUUGGGCACUCUAAGUUGACUGCCGGUGACAAACCGGAGGAAGGUGGGGAUGACGUCAAAUCAUCAUGCCCCUUAUGAUUUGGGCUACACACGUGCUACAAUGGACAAUACAAAGGGCAGCGAAACCGCGAGGUCAAGCAAAUCCCAUAAAGUUGUUCUCAGUUCGGAUUGUAGUCUGCAACUCGACUACAUGAAGCUGGAAUCGCUAGUAAUCGUAGAUCAGCAUGCUACGGUGAAUACGUUCCCGGGUCUUGUACACACCGCCCGUCACACCACGAGAGUUUGUAACACCCGAAGCCGGUGGAGUAACCUUUUAGGAGCUAGCCGUCGAAGGUGGGACAAAUGAUUGGGGUGAAGUCGUAACAAGGUAGCCGUAUCGGAAGGUGCGGCUGGAUCACCUCCUUUCUA
rnacentral:rRNA from 1 species